rnacentral:rRNA from 1 species
AUUAGAUACCCUAUUAUUUUUAUUGUAAAGUUUUAAGUCGGAGUAUUAGUAGUUAUGGUCUUAAAACUUAAAGAAUUUGGCGGUAUUAUAGUCUAUUUAGAGGAAUCUGUUAUGUAAUUGAUAAUCCACGUUGAACCUUACUUAUAUUAUUUUUUGUAUACCGCUGUUUAAGAAUAUAUUUUUAGAUUAUUUUCUUAAUAUAAAAUUAAUUAAUAUUUCAAGUCAAGGUGCAGUAAUAUAUAAGUUGAAUAAUGGAUUACAAUAAAAUUUAUUUAUAUGGAUUAUUAUUGAAAUAUAAUUUGAAGGUGGAUUUAAUUGUAAUUUUAUAGAGAUUAUUAAAAUGAUUUUAGGCUCUAUAAUAUGCACACAUCGCCCG